AAACCAUUCCCCUCUCCUGCAGGAGAGUCUCACAGACAUCUCUCAUUCGCCUGGAGACCAGGGCCAGCUGGGAUAGAGUGAAGCUGUCCAAGAAGCCAGCAAUGUGCACUAGGACCUCGAAAGGCAGUCUGCUGAUCCUGGAGGAGGAGAGACGCUGCACUGGUCCUGCGAGAAAGAAAGGGGAGGCGAGGAGAGAUGGCGCUGGUGGCACCAGGCAAACAGGCGGCACUGGGGGUACCCCGGACCCUGGGAAUCUUGAAACCACGUUGUGGGGGUGCGAGAGUCCUGUUCUGGACGGGGUUCAGGAAUUGAACCAGUGCCUGCUCCCUUCCUAACAGUGUGUGGUCACGGCGAGACUCUAGAUUGGCGGCACCAGCAACUGGGUCUAGGCUAGAGUGCGGGGUGCAGCAGUGCAGUCCGGGACACAGCCCGGAAGCGGUCCAGGAAUUGAACCAGUGCCUGCUCCCUCCCUAAGUGUGGGGUCGCAGCGAGACUUCAGUCUGGUGGCAACCGGGACCAGGCCUGAGUGCAGGGUGCAGCAGUGUGGUCCGGGACACGGCCCAGAAGCCUAGGAAAGAAGUGUGGACGGGCUGGAAGCAGCAUGUUUUUGUUUGGGUUUGGGUUUUUUAAAAUUUAUUUUGGGAUGUAGAAAGGCCCAGCAUAGAGGCGUGGGCCAGACUACAUCCCACCCUUACGCAGUGUGUGUGCGUGGGUGUGAGCAAGGGCAUAUAAGUGAGAACCCCUCAGCAUUGGUGACGUCCCCCCCUUAGAUGGCUGAGUGGGGUCUCCCCUCCCAGAGCGGGACUGAGUACAGGGGAGCAGGAGUGGGAAUCACUAUAUGGUGACUAUAUGAUGUGCUGAAUGUGAGCACGUGUGUGGGGUAACCUGAAGUGGCUUAUGUGUGUGUGCUGUGUUGAGGGGUGUGUGCUAUUACCUGUGCUGGGGCUCCGUAGGAGGGAAGGGGGGCCAUAGGUGGGUAGCGGUGUGUGGUAGAAGUAGGGAGGAAGUAGAAAGGGCUGGGGUUAGUGUGGGGUACUCUAUUUUAAUGAACUGUGUAAAACCUGUAAAAGAAAUAAAUACAUUUUCCUUUUA